GAUGAACGCUGGCGGCGUGCCUAAUACAUGCAAGUCGAGCGAACGGACGAGAAGCUUGCUUCUCUGAUGUUAGCGGCGGACGGGUGAGUAACACGUGGAUAACCUACCUAUAAGACUGGGAUAACUUCGGGAAACCGGAGCUAAUACCGGAUGAUAUUUUGAACCGCAUGGUUCAAAAGUGAAAGACGGUCUUGCUGUCACUUAUAGAUGGAUCCGCGCUGCAUUAGCUAGUUGGUAAGGUAACGGCUUACCAAGGCAACGAUGCAUAGCCGACCUGAGAGGGUGAUCGGCCACACGGGAACUGAGACACGGUCCAGACUCCUACGGGAGGCAGCAGUAGGGAAUCUUCCGCAAUGGGCGAAAGCCUGACGGAGCAACGCCGAGUGAGUGAUGAAGGUCUUCGGAUCGUAAAACUCUGUUAUUAGGGAAGAACAUAUGUGUAAGUAACUGUGCACAUCUUGACGGUACCUAAUCAGAAAGCCACGGCUAACUACGUG
rnacentral:rRNA from 1 species